rnacentral:rRNA from 1 species
UUGAACGCUGGCGGCAUGCUUUACACAUGCAAGUCGAACGGUAACAGGCCGCAAGGUGCUGACGAGUGGCGAACGGGUGAGUAAUGCAUCGGAACGUGCCCAGUCGUGGGGGAUAACUACUCGAAAGAGUAGCUAAUACCGCAUACGAUCUAUGGAUGAAAGCGGGGGACCGUAAGGCCUCGCGCGAUUGGAGCGGCCGAUGUCAGAUUAGGUAGUUGGUGGGGUAAAGGCUCACCAAGCCAACGAUCUGUAGCUGGUCUGAGAGGACGACCAGCCACACUGGGACUGAGACACGGCCCAGACUCCUACGGGAGGCAGCAGUGGGGAAUUUUGGACAAUGGGCGCAAGCCUGAUCCAGCAAUGCCGCGUGCAGGAAGAAGGCCUUCGGGUUGCAAACUGCUUUUGUACGGAACGAAACGGCUCUGGUUAAUACCCGGGGCUAAUGACGGUACCGUAAGAAUAAGCACCGGCUAACUACGUG